ensembl:lncRNA
AUGUAAUAAUGGGCCAAUGUCAAAAAGGAUUUAUGAUUAUUAUUCAUAUGACUCAACCAUAUGCUCCAGCUACUGCUGUAGUCUUGCUAGUCUUGGUUUGACAUCUGUAGUGAUAAUGAGUAAAAUUGCAUUAUGCCACAGAAAAAAAUCAAGACACUUAAAAAAUAACUAGUAGGCUGCCAGGAGAAACAUUGACCUCCUUUGCGGGGUCAAGAGAUGGUUUUAAAAUAUGCUAGAUGCUCCUGACAUAGUUGAAGCACUCUGAGGAUCUGGCAACCAGCUGUUCUAGCUUUUUUAGAGGAGAACUAAAGUAUAAUUGAAUUCCUAAACCAUAUGUGUGUAUCACUGUAGUUGAAUAGCAUACAUGAUCCUAUCAAGUUGACUUUAAAAAGGGGAAGUUACCUAUUUUCUUUUAUAUAGUAGGACAACUGGUAGCUGUUCUAAAUAAUUCAAGGUUGGGGAUGGUUCAUAACUAACAGGUAUUUUCAGGAUCAUCUAAGAAGUCAUACUAUCUGUCUGUCUUUCCUGGUUAAGCAUUAAGCUUCCAAGUGACUAUGAUGAAAAGACAUAUUUCUGUUUUUUUCCCUCUAACAGUCUUUUGUCUAUAUGGACUCCUAUGGAGCAAUGCUCAGCUCUGUUGGCAACAGGACCUGACACCUGCUGGGAAAAACCAGCUUGUCUAUGCCAUUUCCAGGCUUCACCAUUCUGUGAGAAAUUAGUAAUGAGGCAAAUACCUUCCAGACCAACAUGAAGACACCGAGAACUCCUUCCUCCUUCUGAAGGAAUAUGCAGUGUUGUCCAAGAUGCUGCCAAAUAGUUUUCUAAAUCAGUCCCAAAUGUGGCCAGGCCUCCAUGUUGGGCCAGUGUGAGUAUAGUGGUGGUUUUGUUCCUUCUUGCUACUAUUUCUUCUCCCUCCACAUUUCCUCCCAGACUUUGGGGCGAGAACACCAAGCCCCAGAAUAUCUCAUACCUUAGACAAAACAAAGUUCUAAAGUGUGCUAGAUGUAAUAACCUGCAAUGUCUCCCUGUCAUCCCAAAUUACUGGAACAUGCUGUGUUUCAGCCCUGCCACCUACAUGCCUUCCUGCUACAGAAUGGUGCCUGCUCCUCAUCAAGCAGGAUGGUGCAGGGUCCAGUGUCAGCUCCCCCUUGCUGAACUGUGCUUACAUUACUUUCUCCUUGCCUCUGAUUCUGUGGGCACACAGUACUUAGGUUGGUCUCCUGGAAGUUUUCACAUGUGGCUUUUUUUUUAAAGAAAACCUUGUUAAACCUUGUAGCAAGAGCUGCCAGCCAACAGAUCACAAGCACUUGAAGGCAAUAGAUGCUCCCAUUGACUCAUAUGAGUCCAGAAGAUUAUGUUUUCCUUAGCAGCAUGGUGAGUGAAUCCACAACAACUACUUCAUGUCAGUUCAGUGUGCCUUGAAGAGUGUUGAGGCUACACAGUGACCCAUCUGCAAGCUUUCCUGGUGUACUUAUUGGCAUAGUUGAAAGACAAAGGUGUAAAACUAAUAUUUCGGGUAAAUCAACAAGAAUAUGGCAAAAAGUGGUAAAAUAGAUGUUUUCCCAUAAAUCAGUGAACCAUGACAUAGUCUAGAUAUUUUUCUCCCCUUACCACUGCAAAUAGUUGCCAUAUUCAGCAGAGAACCAAGGCCCCAAGUAGCACUGAGACUGCAUAUAUUCUGGCACUCAGUAAUUUUAAUCACUGAUAGAGACUUUGUACUCUAUGUUACCUCCUGCUGCCUUAUGUAUAGUCUUUUUUGUUCAUUUCAUUAGAAAAAUUAAUGAUGGAAAGGAGUUUGGUUAUUCUGCCGAAUGCUGUUUGCUCAUGCCUUCCACGUACUGUUUUCUUCUGUUUACCUGAAAAAGAAAACAGCAAGCACUGCAGAAUCUGGUGUGCAUGGCCUGGCACUGUGCCAGUGAAAACCCCACCCAUCCAGCAAAUUAGAUUUUUUUUACAGUAUUUUCUUGGAGCGUGAGUAUGAGGAUUUGUAGAAAACAUUGUGAGAAGAGCUCAAAGGGAUUGAAAAGGCUUGUUUGGGUUUUAUUUGGUUUGCACAAUGUAAUUUUUGCUUGCAGCGACAUUAUUUAAUGAUGAUCAUGGCAGAAAUAAUUCCUAGUGUCAAAUAGAUACUUGCUAUUGAAGUCCUGUUUAAUCUUGCACUUAUUUUCAAACCUUUUUUAAAAAAGGCAUCAGAGGAGCACUGAGUACUCAAGAGAACAACUGGAAAGGCAAAGCCCUGGGCAUCACAUUCAGCUCUACUUCACUUUCAUGUGUGAGUUGGCUAACGUGACUAAGGGACACGAGGAGCACGUGCUAUUCUCUACCUAUGAGUACUCAAGCUUCAUUUCCUGCUAAAGUAUCCAGGUGCACUGCUGAGCUGCUGGUCUGUCUUGAAGGCUGCAAUUUCAGUGAGGCAAAUCCAUUAUCCAGAUACAUGUGCUCUCUGCAGAUGAUCCUGAAUCCAGCAAAAUCAAGGGGAGACCACACGUGAAGAUCAGGCACACCAGCUGCUCCACGCAGGCACGACUUUGUUGAGUGAGACCACAUAACCACAUUACUUCACACCAGGAGAAACAAUGUACUGAAGUUGAUUUUAAGUGAUCUCUUAAAAUUGACUCAAUCUCUCAGUUCACAGUAGUCCAAGUACUUGAAAUAUGUCAGUAGAUUCAUUGCUAAUAUUAUGUUAAUUUGUGCUCCCAGGUACGUUGAAGGAAUUUCUAGUAAUAUGACUAGGAGUAAUGAACAAGCAUAGAGAGAACUGAUUUUAAGAGAACUUACUUAUGCUCUAAAAAUAUGUUACCAUCAUCUCAAAGCUGUCUUUUUGCUUUCUUGUCACAGACACUUUCUAUUUUCCUUCAAUCAUUUCCCAAACUGCAUACAAGCAUUUUAAGUCCUUGUGCAACUUGGAGUUUUAACACACUUUUGCCUAAUUUCAAGAAUUAUGGGGAAUGUUUGCUGUACAUGUGAUUUUUGUUUGAGCUAUCCUGUCAAAGACACACAUGCUGGUCUUCAUCCCUUUUGUUACAAAAUACAAUCAAUGCAGUGUGUAUGUGUUUAUCUAUACAUCACACUCUCCAGUCUGCGUGACAUAUUUGUGGUCUGUUUUUCUAAAAUCAUAAUUGUGACUAUGUAAGCCUUCCAAUCCUGCACUUGGAAAGUCUCCCAGAUUUCUUCCUGAUUCCCAUUGAGAACUCCUGUGCACCAGCAGUAUUUUGAGAAUUAAAAAAUAUAUAUAUAGGUAAUUAUGUACUUAGCUAUCUUAUGUCACUAAAUCACAUGCUGAUAAGUAGCUGCCAAAUUUUAGCCCUGUAUUCUUGGUUUUCUCCAGCACUGGGAGCCUUGCAUGUGUCAGAGGGAUUAUUGGCACUUUCCCAGGGAGGUGCCAGCUGUGCUUGAACCAGCUGUGCUUCUCACUUCUGCCUCUGUAUCACUGCCUGUGUCUUUAGGCACAGUCAUUGAUGGUGAAUAUGUGCUUUAAUUUGAACUUCAGCAGUUUAAGUUCAAUUAUGGCUUUACUUACUUUUGACUUUUAGGACAAAAUUACUUCUUCAAAAGUUGCUGCUUGAUUAAACUGUCUGUGUUCAAUCAUUACCAAUGCUUUUGUCUUACAAUUUAUUUUCUCAAUUGACAAUUACAGAACAAAUGAUAUUUAAUCAUGGUGUGUUUAUACUAGAUAUAUACAUAGUAAUACAUUCUUAUAUCUGUGUCUCAUAUAGUUUUGUGCACAAUGUAAAUAGCACAUAUUUUCUAAACAACACUUAUGCUUCAACAGCCUAAAUCUCCAUUUAUCCCACAAAUAAAUUUCUCCAAACCUUCAACCCAGAAAGCUAAACACUUGGUUGAAGUGGUGAACCCCUAACUUAAUGACGUGGUCUGUGCUGACGUCACUGGGUAUGACAGUAAAUCCACAGCAUAAAACACAGCCAACAUAAUGUCACCACAUCAAGUCUUAAGAUAAACUAAACCCCUUUCCAUUAAAAAAAAAAACUUUGUUUUCAUAGUUGGAGUAUUUUGCAGAAAUUUGAUUGUAUAAACAAAAUUGUCAAUUGAGAAUAAUGUACACUGUUCAUUUUAUUUCUUUUUAAUAUGACAUAUUUCAAUAAAAGAUAUAU